rnacentral:lncRNA from 1 species
AUGGAUAAUUUAUCGACCUCAAACUUUUGUAUUACAAAUAGCUACCCUAACCGUGAUACAUCAUUUAAAGAGCACACAAUCUUCUAAUUCAAUUCUGAUCUUCACAAUCUAACCAAAUCGAAAAAAAAAAAACAAAAUAGGCUAACGUAUAAGCGAAUAGUAAGCAAAAAUGUGUGGUGAUAAACAGUUCAUUGAGUCCUAAUAUUUUAGUGUGGUGUUGGGAUACUAUAAAUACUAUAAGUAAAAUACUAUAAAUAACUAUAAGUAAACUAACUUAGCCCCUUUAAGAAAUAAAUAUUAAAAUGUGUGUUGUGCUGUAUUUGACCUUGCGCUCUGUUUUGUUUUAAAAUGCAAGCCUCGUGAUUCGAAAUAUUUUUAGUGAUUUACUGGCUUGGAUACUGUGUGUAUUUAAGAGUAAUAUAAUCGCAUUUUUGUGGCAAUAUGUCUAGUUCGGACGAAAAUAGAAGCGCUGAAAGUGAAGAGAAGCUAUCUGAAUCAGAUAAUCUUAGAAGGAGACGACGAGGUGUGAGAAAUGAUGAUAAUUAUCAAACAAAUUUAAUCAAAAAAGCUAGAAUCAGUGGUACUGCGUAUAAAGAUUAUUAAGGCAAGAUGGUUGCUGCCAGGCAAAUCAGAGGUGCUUGCAAAUGUAAAAUGCAGUGUUUUACUAAGCUAAAUGAUGAGCAAAAGCAAAUAGUGUUUGAGAAUUUCUACAAAAUGCAUAACAAGGAUGAACAGGAUAUAUAUCUUCAAGGUCUGAUUCAUCAGAAAAAUAUGGCAAACCGAAGAAGUCAGAAAAAUUAAAACAGUAAAGUAAGGGAAGUAUCUUUUGAUCAUUUUAUUCGCGUUGGGAACUCAGAGUAAAAGUAUGUUUUAAGGCUUUUUUAAAUUUACAUUCUCUAUCUGAAAAAAGAAUCAAGAGAAUAAAAUCAUUGAUUAAAAAUAAUGUGACUCCCAGAGAUAAACGUGGAAAAAAUAUUAAACGGGCAAUGCCGGAAGAUCAAAACAUAUAAAUUCGUCAGCACAUUGAAAGCUAUCCAGUAAAAGAAAGUCACUAUUCGGGAAAAGAAUAUAAAUAUCUAGAUAGUAGAUUUAAUAUAAAAAUUAUGUACGAAAUGUUUAGAUCCAAGUAUCCUGAAACGAAAAUUAAAUACAGCUAUUAUUAUAAAUUUUUUCGCGAAAACUUUACUUUACUGAAAUUUGGGCGUCCUCAAAUAGACACAUGCAUAAAAUAUGAAGAGUUGAAUUUAAAAAUUAAAAGUCCCUCUCUAGGAGAUGCCUCAAAAAAGUGGCUGUUGCUGAAUUGUUGGUACACAAAAAGAGGGCCAACAAGUUUUAUACGAAGCUAAAGGAUACUAUUAAAGAGUGUCACGAUAGGGACGACGUGGUAGGGCUCGCAUUUGACUAUAUGCAAAAUGUUCAUUUACCACAUAUACCUGUACAAGAAGUCUUCUAUAAGACCCAACUAACGGUUAAUGUAUUUUGCAUACAUAAUCUUAAAACGGAAAAUUCUUUUUUUUAUAUUUAUCAAGAGGGACAGGCCAAUAAGGGUCGUAAUGAAGUAUGCACCUUUUUGCUUGAUUGUAUAAAAAAUAUUAUACCACCCAACAUAAAAGAGUUAAGACUUUUUUGUGACAACUGCCCUGGGCAAAAUAAGAACCACGCUAUUAUAAGAUUAUGUUUGGCCCUUAUAGAUAUGAGGCGCUUCAAUAAAAUUAAGCAUUAUUUUCCCAUUAGAGGUCACUCCUUUUUGCCCUUUGACAGGGAUUUUGGUGUCAUAAAAAGAUACCUAAAAAAAUUUGACAGAAUAUUUCAAAUUCAUAAGUACACAGAAAUUAUUGUCAAUUCAAGUGCCAAACGCAAGUUUACUGUAAAAGAAGUUAAACCUAGAGAUUCUUGAUUUUAAGCAAUGGUGGUCUAAGUAUUAUAAAAAGACAAGCUUGUCUACUGAAUCUCAAAAAAUAAAUGUUCCUCGAUCUCAAAAAGCUUCUUUUGCAUUCAACAUUUAAUGAUUAUGUAUAUAGCUCUAAAACUUCAGGUUAUGUAAGGGCAUCGGAUUAUAUUAUUAGCAUUUUUGGUGUUAAUCACUUCCAUUUGGCUUUACCGAAACACAACAGCCAAUUUAGUAUUGAAUGGCCCGAAAUACCAGCAUAUCCUGAAGACAUGGUGCCAAUUUUGGAAACAAAAAUAGCCCAUUUGCAAAGCCUUAAUCAAUGGGUACCAGAAGAUAAGCAGGAAUUUUACGUCCACAUUAUAAAUUCCUGGAAAACCACGAAAUCCAAAGCUAAAUAACCUGAACCAUCUUAAUAGAACUGAAAACCAUGGUUUUUUCGAUUUUGUUUUAAACUUUGUGAGAAUAAUGUUUUAUUUCUAUUUUUUAUAUGUAUUAUAAUAUUACUUUAAUUUUGAUUAUAUGUAUAUAUUUUU